rnacentral:rRNA from 1 species
GACGAACGCUGGCGGCGUGCUUAACACAUGCCAGUCGAACGGAAAGGCCCUGCUUUUGUGGGGUGCUCGAGUGGCGAACGGGUGAGUAACACGUGAGUAACCUGCCCUUGACUUUGGGAUAACUUCAGGAAACUGGGGCUAAUACCGGAUAGGAGCUCCUGCUGCAUGGUGGGGGUUGGAAAGUUUCGGCGUUUGGGGAUGGACUCGCGGCUUAUCAGCUUGUUGGUGGGGUAGUGGCUUACCAAGGCUUUGACGGGUAGCCGGCCUGAGAGGGUGACCGGCCACAUUGGGACUGAGAUACGGCCCAGACUCCUACGGGAGGCAGCAGUGGGGAAUAUUGCACAAUGGGCGGAAGCCUGAUGCAGCAACGCCGCGUGCGGGAUGACGGCCUUCGGGUUGUAAACCGCUUUCGCCUGUGACGAAGCGUGAGUGACGGUAAUGGGUAAAGAAGCACCGGCUAACUACGUG